rnacentral:rRNA from 1 species
GAUGAACGCUGGCGGCGUGCCUAAUACAUGCAAGUCGAGCGAAGCGCGGACGGGUGAGUAACACGUGGAUAACCUCCUAUAAGACUGGGAUAACUUUGGGAAACUGGAGCUAACCCGGAUACUUAUAGAUGGAUCUGUGCUGCAUUAGCUCGUUGGUAAGGGAACGGAUGAGCAAGGCAACGAUACAUAGCCGACCUUAGAGGGUGAGGAGCGACACUGGAACUGAGCAGAGGUCCAGAGUCCUACGUGAGGCAGCAGUAGGGAAUCUUCCGCAAUGGGCUAAAGCCUGACGGAGCAACGCCGCGGAAGUGAUGAGGGUCUUCGGUUCGUAAAACUAUGUGAUUAGGAAAGCGGUAACUAAUCAGAAAGCCACGGCUAACUACGUGCCAGCAGCCGCGGUAAUAC